rnacentral:rRNA from 1 species
ACCCCAGGUCAGGCGGGACUACCCGCUGAAUUUAAGCAUAUCAAUAA